UGUGUGAACCAGACCAGCGAAUGUAACACUGUGGCUAUCUUGACUACUGGGGCCAAGGAACAAUGGUGACGGUGACUGCAGCGACACCGUCUCCUCCCACCCUCUACGCUCUGCUCUCCUCCUGUGAACAAGCAAACACUGCCGGCUCCGUCACCUACGGCUGCUUGGCUGCGGACUACUCGCCCGAAAUCACCAGCGUUUCCUGGAAGAAAGAUCAAGAGACGAUCACAGCUGGAUUGAAGACUUACCCAUCAGUGCUGAACAAGAAGGGAACCCACACCCUGAGCAGCGAGUUAACCAUCACCGAAUCCGAGGUGGGAAGCAGCAAAAUCUACUGCGAGGUUCGAAGGAGCGACUCGGUCUGGCGGAAGGAAAUGCCAGGUAUUGUGGUGCAUCAUCCAACUGUUCUCCUCACCGUGAGCUCCAGUGAAGAAAUCACAAGCAGCAGAUUUGCAACCAUCGUCUGUUCAAUUGUUGAUUUCCGUCCAAAUUCAAUCAAGGUGAAAUGGCUGAAGAAUGGACAGGCCAUGGCCUCGGGCUUCGUCACCUCUCCCGGCUUUGAAGUGAAUGGGAACUUCUCGGCGACCAGUCGGUUGACAGUCCCCGGUGGGGACUGGUUCAGUCACAUGCUCUAUACCUGCCAGGUGACUCAUAAAGGGGUCACUCAAAGCCUAAACAUCACCAGACCUGAGGUUUCCGACUGCACCGAUCCCGUAAUUACUCUACAGCCGCCGCCAAUAGAACAGGUCUUACUGGAGGCGACAGUGACCUUAACCUGUAUCGUUAGUAACGCCCCUUAUGGGGUCCUCGUGUCCUGGACACAAGAACAGAAGCCUUUGAAAUCAGAGAUUGCUGUCCAGCCGGGAGAGGAUCCUAACAGCGUGGUUAGCCACCUGAACAUCUCAACACAAGCCUGGCUGAGUGGGGCUGAGUUCUACUGCGUGGUGAGCCAUCAGGAUCUGCCGACUCCUUUAAGAAAUUCCAUCCACAAGGAAGAACCUAAAUAUCCGCGGGAACCGUCCGUUUCUGUCCUCCUGCCCCCGGCUGAAAAUGUCUCCGCUCAGAAAUUCAUCUCCCUCAGCUGCUUAGUGAGAGGUUUCUCCCCCCGAGAGAUCUUCGUCAAGUGGACUGUCAAUGACAAGCCGGUGAAUCCGGGGAACUACAAGAACACCGAGGUGAUGGCGGAGAACGGCAAUAACACCUUCUUCAUGUACAGCCUGUUAUCCAUUGCAGUGGAGGAGUGGGCCAGCGGCGCUUCGUAUUCCUGUGUGGUGGGACAUGAAGCGAUUCCCUUGAAAUUCAUCAACAGAACGGUUGAUAAAUCCAGUGAUUCCACAGAUCGCAUCUGGAUUGAAGACAAUAAGGACGAUAACGGGAACAUCUGGACAACCGCUUCCACAUUCAUUGUCCUGUUCUUCCUGAGCAUUUCCUACAGCACUGCCGUCACUCUGGUGAAGAUCAAGUGAUCGGUUAAAUUUGGACCCCGUAGCUUUUCGUCAGCUGUUCAGAUCUCUGUGUUCCAAUUUCAAAUAUGUUCUCGUGGUGAUCCCGACCUUUAACCGAACCUGUAACAGUAUUUCCGUUUUCCUGUAUCAAUGUGCGAGAUGAUAAUGAUUGUAAUGUAAUUGUAGCAUCUAAUUUUCCUAGAGUUAGGAUUUCAAUUAUAAUUAAGUAACUUUUCUCAUUCCUUAUUCACUAUGGCCCUCUUCCCUUUCGUUGAGCCGCUGUUUUCUCUUUCUGA